rnacentral:rRNA from 1 species
ACGACGCUGGCGGCGUGCCUAAUACAUGCAAGUCGAACGGUCUUUCUAUGGAAGCUUGCUUCCACUGAGAAGAUAGUGGCGAACGGGUGAGUAACACGUGGGUAACCUGCCCAUAAGAGGGGGGAUAACAUCCGGAAACGGGUGCUAAUACCGCAUAGUUUUUCUUGAUCGCAUGAUUGAGAAAGGAAAGACGGCCUUUGUGCUGUCGCUUAUGGAUGGACCCGCGGCGUAUUAGUUAGUUGGUGAGGUAACGGCUCACCAAGACGAUGAUACGUAGCCGACCUGAGAGGGUGAUCGGCCACAUUGGGACUGAGACACGGCCCAAACUCCUACGGGAGGCAGCAGUAGGGAAUCUUCCGCAAUGGACGAAAGUCUGACGGAGCAACGCCGCGUGAGUGAAAGAAGGUUUUCGGAUCGUAAAACUCUGUUGUCAGAGAAGAACAAGUUGGAGAGUAACUGCUCCAGCCUUGACGGUAUCUGACCAGAAAGCCACGGCUAACUACGUGCCAGCCGCCGC